GACGAACGCUGGCGGCGUGCCUAAUACAUGCAAGUAGAACGCACAGUUUAUACCGUAGCUUGCUACACCAUAGACUGUGAGUUGCGAACGGGUGAGUAACGCGUAGGUAACCUGCCUGGUAGCGGGGGAUAACUAUUGGAAACGAUAGCUAAUACCGCAUAAUAUUGAUUAUUGCAUGAUAAUUAAUUGAAAGGUGCAAUUGCACCACUACCAGAUGGACCUGCGUUGUAUUAGCUAGUAGGUGAGGUAACGGCUCACCUAGGCGACGAUACAUAGCCGACCUGAGAGGGUGAUCGGCCACACUGGGACUGAGACACGGCCCAGACUCCUACGGGAGGCAGCAGUAGGGAAUCUUCGGCAAUGGACGAAAGUCUGACCGAGCAACGCCGCGGGAGUGAAGAAGGUUGUCGGAUCGUAAAGCUCUGUUGUAAGAGAAGAACGGGUGUGAGAGUGGAAAGUUCACACUGUGACGGUAGCUUACCAGAAAGGGACGGCUAACUACGUG
rnacentral:rRNA from 1 species